GGACUUGUUAGCUAGCUACAGGGUUAGAGUCACCUUAGCAGUUGUUUUAUCAAACAGCUCAGCUAGCCUCACUAGCUAGCUAAUGAGAUUAACAAACAGAUUAACAAACGGCUCAGCCACAAAGCGGUAGGCCACACAAGCUCACAGAACAGGACCGCCAAGUGCUGAAGCGCAUAGCGCGUAAAUAUCAUCUGUCCUCAAUUGCAACACUUACUAUCGAGUUCCAACUGCCUCUGGAAGCAACGUCAGCAAAAUAACUGUUUUUGUCGGGAGCUUCAUGAAAUGGGUUUUCAUGGACGAGCAACAGCACACAAGCCUGAAAUCACCAUGCGCAAUGCCAAACGUCGGCUGGCUUGGUGUAAAACGCACCGCCCUUGGACUCUGGAGCAGUGGAAGCGUGCUCUCUGGAAUGAUGAAUCACGCUUCACCAUCUAGCAGUCCGAUGGUGGAAUCUGGGUUUGGCGGAUAACAGAGGAAUGCUACCUGAACAAAUGCAGCGCUAACUGUAAAGUUUGGUGAAGGAAUACUGGUCUGGGUCUGUUUUUCCAUGGUUUGGGCUAGACAAUGACAUUCUAGACGAUUCUGUUCUUCCAUAAUCUAAAUCAACAGUUGCAGCUCCCGUCCAUACAGCAGGCAAUAGGGUGACUACUCCGGAAGCUGCUGUUGUGUGCAAAGAGAAUGACCUUCAUGUUGUCCUCCCACCAUACCUGGAACCCAUCAAGGGACUUGCCCAUGGUAGUUUUGAAGGGUUCACGACCUCAGUCACUUAAGAUGACCUUAGGAGAACCGUGGGUGUUGAAGAUGUCCAACAUCGCCUUGGAGGUGGCCUCGCCUGUGUUGUCCUUGAUGGGUAUCACACAAAAGAAAAUCUAUUUUUGGUUCCAAGCACCCUUUUUAAAUGGGUUACAGAAGGGAGUUAAGCACGUUCUCUUCCUUUACAGACCUUAAUGUGUAUUGCCUCCAUCCACAGACACCGGCUGUUGCCAUUCCUGGAUUUCGUGAAGGGUCCAAAUGAGGUCCACCUCUAACAUAUAAAGUGUUAGAGAGAAGAUGACUUAAUUCUUACCCGUAUCUGUGUCAUUCAGUAUGCAGAUUUUCAUAUUUGUAAGGAUAAUGACACACAACCUAUAAUAUUGAACUCUGCA
rnacentral:lncRNA from 1 species